rnacentral:rRNA from 1 species
GAUGAACGCUGGCGGCGUGCCUAAUACAUGCCAGUCGAGCGAACAGACGAGGAGCUUGCUCCUCUGACGUUAGCGGCGGACGGGUGAGUAACACGUGGAUAACCUACCUAUAAGACUGGGAUAACUUUGGGAAACCGGAGCUAAUACCGGAUAAUAUAUUGAACCGCAUGGUUCAAUAGUGAAAGACGGUUUUGCUGUCACUUAUAGAUGGAUCCGCGCCGCAUUAGCUAGUUGGUAAGGUAACGGCUUACCAAGGCAACGAUGCGUAGCCGACCUGAGAGGGUGAUCGGCCACACUGGACCUGAGACACGGUCCAGACUCCUACGGGAGGCAGCAGUAGGGAAUCUUCCGCAAUGGGCGAAAGCCUGACGGAGCAACGCCGCGUGAGUGAUGAAGGUCUUCGGAUCGUAAAACUCUGUUAUUAGGGAAGAACAAAUGUGUAAGUAACUAUGCACGUCUUGACGGUACCUAAUCAGAAAGCCACGGCUAACUACGUG